UACGGGGGGAGCAAGCGUUGUUCGGAUUUACUGGGCGUAAAGGGCGCGUAGGCGGUCGUGACAAGUCACUUGUGAAAUCUCCGGGCUUAACUCGGAACGGUCAAGUGAGACUGUCGGACUAGAGUACAGAAGGGGCAACUGGAAUUCUCGGUGUAGCGGUGAAAUGCGUAGAUAUCGAGAGGGACACCUGCGGCGAAGGCGGGUUGCUGGGCUGAUACUGACGCUGAGGCGCGAAAGCCAGGGGAGCGAACGGG
rnacentral:rRNA from 1 species